GGGGGCGAUAUGGCUUCGACGGGAUCAAGAAGGUUUAACUUGCAUGCCGGACUGAGCAUCUCCGUUAUACGGCUCAACUUGCUUAAACGCAAACAACACUAAUUACCGUCCUGCUUACGCUGCAGCGUAAGUUUAACUUAAUUUAGGACUGCUUCUCCCUCCGAUUCUAUCUACGAGGUUUCCGGUUCGAUUCCGGACGCUUCCACCA
rnacentral:tmRNA from 1 species